rnacentral:rRNA from 1 species
CAUGUAGGCGGCUGUGAAGGUCGGGUGUGAAAGCCCUGGGCUCAACCCAGGAAAUGCGCCCGAAACCACACAGCUAGAGUUCGGGAGAGGGGUGUGGAAUUCCCGGUGUAGAGGUGAAAUUCGUAGAGAUCGGGAGGAACACUCGUGGCGAAGGCGACACCCUGGACCGCGACUGACGCUGAGAUGCGAAAGAGUGGGGAGCAAACA